rnacentral:rRNA from 1 species
UGGGGAAUUUUGGACAAUGGGCGAAAGCCUGAUCCAGCAAUGCCGCGUGAGUGAAGAAGGCCUUCGGGUUGUAAAGCUCUUUUGUCAGGGAAGAAACGGUGAGAGCUAAUAUCUCUUGCUAAUGACGGUACCUGAAGAAUAAGCACCGGCUAACUACGUGCCAGCAGCCGCGGUAAUACGUAGGGUGCAAGCGUUAAUCGGAAUUACUGGGCGUAAAGCGUGCGCAGGCGGUUUUGUAAGUCUGAUGUGAAAUCCCCGGGCUCAACCUGGGAAUUGCAUUGGAGACUGCAAGGCUAGAAUCUGGCAGAGGGGGGUAGAAUUCCACGUGUAGCAGUGAAAUGCGUAGAUAUGUGGAGGAACACCGAUGGCGAAGGCAGCCCCCUGGGUCAAGAUUGACGCUCAUGCACGAAAGCGUGGGGAGCAAACAGGAUUAGAUACCCAUGUAGUCCCUGAGCGGGCUGGCAAGGCGCAU